rnacentral:tRNA from 2 species
GUGAGUAUAGUUUACCAAAAACCCUAGAUUGUGAAUCUAGUAAUAGAAUAUUGACCAUUCUUAUUCACC